rfam:Brassica napus, WGS project CCCW01000000 data, contig: 14552
GGAAUAUAAGAAUUUGUCUCUUAACUUUUAACUAAAAAAGCUAACAACUGGUUUUUAAUAUUUAAGAACCGGUUUUUAGCUUUUUUAAUUAAAAGUUAAGAGACAGAUUCUUAUAUUCC